CUGACGGUCUGGGUAAUCUUCAAACUGUAUCGUGUUAGGGAUCGAUUCUUGCAAUUUUUAAUCGUAAACGAGGAAUUCCUAGUAAACGCAAGUCAUCAGCUUGCAUUGAUUACGUCCCUGCCCUUUGUACACACCG
rnacentral:rRNA from 1 species